GAUGAACGCUGACAGAAUGCUUAACACAUGCAAGUCGAUUCGAUUUACCUUCGGGUAUUGAGGAUGGCGGACGGGUGAGUAACGCGUAAGGAACUUGCCUCUUGGUCUGGGACAACUGUUGGAAACGACAGCUAAUACCGGAUAUUAUGAGAUUCUCGCAUGGGAAACUUAUGAAAGCUAUAUGCGCCAAGAGAGAGCCUUGCGUUCCAUUAGCUAGUUGGUGGGGUAACGGCCCACCAAGGCGACGAUGGAUAGCCGGCCUGAGAGGGUGAACGGCCACAAGGGGACUGAGACACGGCCCUUACUCCUACGGGAGGCAGCAGUGGGGAAUAUUGGACAAUGGGCCACAAGCCUGAUCCAGCAAUUCUGUGUGCACGAUGAAGGUCUUCGGAUUGUAAAGUGCUUUCAGUUGGGAAGAAGAAAGUGACGGUACCAACAGAAGAAGCGACGGCUAAAUACGUGCCAGCAGCCGCGGUAAUACGUAUGUCGCAAGCGUUAUCCGGAUUUAUUGGGCGUAAAGCGCGUCUAGGCGGAAAAAUAAGUCUGAUGUUAAAAUGCGGGGCUCAACUCCGUAUUGCGUUGGAAACUGUUUUUCUAGAGUACUGGAGAGGUGGGCGGAACUACAAGUGUAGAGGUGAAAUUCGUAGAUAUUUGUAGGAAUGCCNAUGGAGAAGUCAGCUCACUGGNCAGAUACUGACGCUAAAGCGCGAAAGCGUGGGGAGCAAACAGGAUUAGAUACCCUGGUAGUCNACG
rnacentral:rRNA from 1 species